GGAAGGAUCAUUAACACGUUAUCCAACGUAACUACCAACUGCGCACCCCUUUUCAUUCUCUCCCGUGUACCUACUAUAAUCGGAAGUGUGCUCUCUGACCGUUGAUUAGGGAGCGUCUUCGGACGCUCCAGUCAGACCCGACUCAUCUGCUCGCAAGAGCUAACGAUAAAAGUAGGCCGCGGCUAAGCUGCGUUUGCUGUAGAUCUCCAUUCAAGAUCAUGAGCAGCGUGGCACUAUUAUUAACCAUUUUCACCCCUUUUUUGCUAGUUGACUUUUCAUCUGUUGAGCUCUCUCUUUAUUGAGAGGUUCGGCACGUUUGAUCUUUAAUUGAACGUUAAAAAAUACAACUCUUAGCAAUGGAUAUCUAGGUUCUCGCAACGAUGAAGAACGCAGCGAAAUGCGAUACGUAAUGCGAAUUGCAGAAUUCAGUGAAUCAUCAAAUCUUUGAACGCAAAUGGCGCUCUUGGGUAGCCCUAGGAGCACACCUCUCUCAGUAUCGGUUCAACAACCGCUCAGCAGCGUGCUUGGUAAAACAAACGCGUGUGGCUGGAAAAUGAGAGUCUGAGUGCUUGUCGCUCAGUCUCUUGAAAUGCAUCGAGUGCGCAUAUGAUUCGUCAGUCCAUGAUACCCUCGGGUGUCUAGGCAGUGUCGGACGGUUGCUCACAAGUGACGUGAAUACUGGCCUCCGGGUCUUCCUUUUACGUGUGUCUUGCGAGUAAUAUUUAAACGUCUGGGAUAGCUGAAGGAUUGAACCAACGAAUGAAAUGCGUACGACACAAUAACCAUAUGAUUCGAAGCAAUUCGAGUCUGAUUAUUGAUCUGAGAUGAAGUGAGACAACCCCCUGAAUUUAAGCAUAUUAAUAAGGGGAGGAAAAGAAACUAACAAGGAUUCCCUUAGUAACGGCGAGUGAAGCGGGAAGAGCUCAAUUUGAAAAUCGAUAACCCAAACGGGUCAUCGAGUUGUAGCCUAUAGACGUACUAUCAGCUGGAACCUGGGUAUAAGUUCUUUGGAAUGAGGCAUCAUAGAGGGUGAGAAUCCCGUAGAUGACCCAAAGCUUUCAGCGUACGAUGUAUGUUCAUCGAGUCGAGUUGUUUGGGAUUGCAGCUCUAAAUGGGUGGUAAGUAUCAUCUAAAGCUAAAUAUUGGCGAGAGACCGAUAGCGAACAAGUACCGUGAGGGAAAGAUGAAAAGAACUUUGAAAAGAGAGUUAAAAGUACUUGAAAUUGCUAAGAGGGAAGCGCUGAAAACCAGUGAUAUGCCGUCUCAAACGCCUAUCGCUCUUGUGAGUUGUGUACGUAGUUGGUAACUCUGCGUGCGCAACUGAUAGGGCGGCGGUGGGUUUCCUGAGGCGGUGUCAGUCAAGAUCCAUUCGGCUGUGGGUGAGAAGGUGGGCGGAAAGGUAGGAGGUUCGCCUCUGUUAAGUCCGCUCACUCUAGCCUGCGCUGGAUGGAGGAAGCAAUGGUGCGCCGCUUGCGGCUUGGCGCGGCGUCUCUGCGGCCUCAUCUGUCGUUCCGAGCAAUGCUCUGGCGGCGGAGAAGGGUCGUACUGGGCGUCGCUGUCCGAUGUGCCAUCACGAUCUUGUACGAAAUGGUUUUCAUCGACCCGUCUUGAAACACGGACCAAGGAGUCUAACAUCUAUGCGAGUAUUUGGGUGCAAAACCCUGAUGCGGAAUGAAAGUAAAGGCAGUCUUGUGCUGCUGAGGUAGGAAUCCGGCAACGGAGGCACUAUCGACCGAUCAUCACUUGUGAAAGAUUUGAGUAAGAGCAUAUCUGUUGGGACCCGAAAGAUGGUGAUCUAUGCCUGAACAGGGUGAAGCCAGGGGAAACUCUGGUGGAGGCUCGUAGCGAUACUGACGUGCAAAUCGUUCGUCUGAUUUGGGUAUAGGGGCGAAAGACUAAUCGAACCAUCUAGUAGCUGGUUCCCUC
rnacentral:misc_RNA from 1 species